rnacentral:misc_RNA from 1 species
AGACCUCUCAUGGUGACUUACUCAGCGCAAGAAAUUCAACAGUGGCGGGAAGAACGCCGUAAGAACUACCCUUCAAAAGGAAACAUUGAGAAGCAGCUAACAGGGAAAAUGGUAGAGUCCGAGGGUAAUUCGAAUGCUGCUAAGUUGCGCCGUCAGCAACUUAAGGAAAUUCUAGCCAAGCAGGCUGAGUUAGGUUUUGAAGUUGCAGAAAUACCAUCAUCCUAUCUGUCAGAUACUGAGAAACAAGUGGAUGGAAUGGAGCAAAAAAGGCCACUGAGUAGAAAAGAAAGGUUCCAAAAAAGGUUCAAUAAAAAAGAAAAGUUCAACCGAAAUGAUCGUUUCUCCAAGAAACGAAGAUUUGGAAACUCCGAUUCACCAAACACUUGUGAUCAGAAGGACUUUCCUACUGGAAAACAGGAUGUGAACCGUGAAUCUGUAACUCAGGUUACAAAAAGUGCGAGAGAAUCAACACUGCUGCAGAAACUAUUGAGUUCAGAUAUUCAAAGAGAUAAACGACGCCUAUUGCAGGUCUUUAGGUUCAUGACCAUGAAUUCUUUCUUUAAAGAUCAGCCUGGGAAACCCUUGAGGUUUCCUCGAGUGUUACUUAAGGAAACGGGGAAAGAAAUUGAAGCUGCUGAAGAAAUAUCUGAUGCUAUAGAUACAAACAUUGAAAAAUCAUCAUCAGACGACGACAAUGACAACUACGAAGAAGACAAUAUUGCUGAAUUUACAGAAGCAGUUAGUGAGUUACAAGAAGAUAGUAGCAGUGAAAGUGAAGAACCUGAGGAAGAACAAAUCUCUAGUUAAACAAAACAGCCUGUAUCUUUGUCACUGUUUAUUGUAUAUGCUUGUUU